UAGGGAAUCUUCGGCAAUGGGGGCAACCCUGACCGAGCAACGCCGCGUGAGUGAAGAAGGUUUUCGGAUCGUAAAGCUCUGUUGUAAGUCAAGAACGGGUGUGAGAGUGGAAAGUUCACACUGUGACGGUAGCUUACCAGAAAGGGACGGCUAACUACGUGCCAGCAGCCGCGGUAAUACGUAGGUCCCCGAGCGUUGUCCGGAUUUAUUGGGCGUAAAGCGAGCGCAGGCGGUUUGAUAAGUCUGAAGUUAAAGGCUGUGGCUCAACCAUAGUUCGCUUUGGAAACUGUCAAACUUGAGUGCAGAAGGGGAGAGUGGAAUUCCAUGUGUAGCGGUGAAAUGCGUAGAUAUAUGGAGGAACACCGGUGGCGAAAGCGGCUCUCUGGUCUGUAACUGACGCUGAGGCUCGAAAGCGUGGGGAGCGAACAGGAUUAGAUACCCUGGUAGUCCACGCCGUAAAACGAUGAGUGC
rnacentral:rRNA from 1 species